AUGACCUUACUUGAACAGGAUCUGUUUUACAGGCUCGUACCUCUGUAUCCUUAAUUCCUAUCAAGGCAGAAACCCAUGUCUGGUUGAUGAACCACGACCAUGUUGCCAGAGCAUGAUCACCCGAGCCUCAUGGUCUUGACCAUGGCUCAGUAGUAGAGCGUAUAGUAUGCAAGUUAUAUAUUAAACUGAUCUAUAUUGAUAUGAUGAAUAGGUA